AUGAAGUUUAAAACAGUUUUCGAACUUUUACUUAUUUUAUAUAUUGUCUUAUGUCAUUGUGUUUUUCUUAUAUGGUCAUAUUUAUCUUAUUUUUAUUUAUUUUAUCCUUUCUUGUAUUUUAUCCUUUCUUGUAUUUUAUCCUUUCUUGUAUUUUAUCUUUUUUUGUAUUUUAUCCCUUCUUGUAUUUUAUCCUUUCUUGUAUUUUAUCCUUUCUUGUAUUUUAUCCUUUCUUGUAUUUUAUCUUUUUUUGUAUUUUAUCCCUUCUUUUAUUUAGUUUUUUGCAGCCUAACGUGUUGGAAUUUGAACAAAAGCCUGGAUAACUCUAUAAUCUGCCCUACAAUUUCAGGCUUUAUAGCUUCAUCGUUAAAUAAGAUGAUUUUUAAGGAACAUAAAAAACCUCUAAUCCCUAUUUGGUUAGGUUGUAUAUUAAGUUAUAUUAUUUUCCUUUGAAAAAAAGACGAAUUGGGACAUUAUUUUUUUUUUUUACAUUUUUUAAAGUAAUCAAAAAAAGAUAUUUCCGACAAAUAAAAAAAAAAAAAACAAUAAACUGGCA
rnacentral:lncRNA from 1 species